rnacentral:lncRNA from 1 species
CACCUUAAAAAUUAAUUACUUUUUGUUUAUACUUCUUCUUAGAUUACAAUAAAUCAUGCCAUUCACACAAGUUCUUACAGGGAUUUAAUUGCAUCUUUGAAAGGUUUGGCAGAUACAUCAAGCCAGUUCAUUAAUGCACAGAUGAUUCCUUCACAUUAAGAAAGACACGUUGGAGCACCAUAAAUGUCAAGGCAGUUAUUACACACAAAAAGCAUAAAAUGGCAACCAUCAAAAGAUUCAUAGCCAAAAGGGACUUGCCUUAUCUCAGUUGAGGCUUUGGACUUGGAACUUUGAGAAUAACCAGCAAUGUUCCAGAAAUUAUCUGCUCUCUCGCCCUGGUCUCAACUUGCAGAAGAUGGGAAGCAGAGCUCCCAGCCUGCCCAAGAUGAACAUGUGGUAUAGACAAGAAAUACACCUCUGU